GCCUGCGCGGAAGAUGUAACGGGGCUAAACCAUGCACCGAAGCUGCGGCAGCGACGCUGAUGCGUUGUUGGGUAGGGGAGCGUUCUGUAAGCCUGCGAAGGUGUGCUGUGAGGCAUGCUGGAGGUAUCAGAAGUGCGAAUGCUGACAUAAGUAACGAUAAAGCGGGUGAAAAGCCCGCUCGCCGGAAGACCAAGGGUUCCUGUCCAACGUUAAUCGGGGCAGGGUGAGUCGACCCCUAAGGCGAGGCCGAAAGGCGUAGUCGAUGGGAAACAGGUUAAUAUUCCUGUACUUGGUGUUACUGCGAAGGGGGGACGGAGAAGGCUAUGUUGGCCGGGCGACGGUUGUCCCGGUUUAAGCGUGUAGGCUGGUUUUCCAGGCAAAUCCGGAAAAUCAAGGCUGAGGCGUGAUGACGAGGCACUACGGUGCUGAAGCAACAAAUGCCCUGCUUCCAGGAAAAGCCUCUAAGCAUCAGGUAACAUCAAAUCGUACCCCAAACCGACACAGGUGGUCAGGUAGAGAAUACCAAGGCGCUUGAGAGAACUCGGGUGAAGGAACUAGGCAAAAUGGUGCCGUAACUUCGGGAGAAGGCACGCUGAUAUGUAGGUGAAGUCCCUCGCGGAUGGAGCUGAAAUCAGUCGAAGAUACCAGCUGGCUGCAACUGUUUAUUAAAAACACAGCACUGUGCAAACACGAAAGUGGACGUAUACGGUGUGACGCCUGCCCGGUGCCGGAAGGUUAAUUGAUGGGGUUAGCGCAAGCGAAGCUCUUGAUCGAAGCCCCGGUAAACGGCGGCCGUAACUAUAACGGUCCUAAGGUAGCGAAAUUCCUUGUCGGGUAAGUUCCGACCUGCACGAAUGGCGUAAUGAUGGCCAGGCUGUCUCCACCCGAGACUCAGUGAAAUUGAACUCGCUGUGAAGAUGCAGUGUACCCGCGGCAAGACGGAAAGACCCCGUGAACCUUUACUAUAGCUUGACACUGAACAUUGAGCCUUGAUGUGUAGGAUAGGUGGGAGGCUUUGAAGUGUGGACGCCAGUCUGCAUGGAGCCGACCUUGAAAUACCACCCUUUAAUGUUUGAUGUUCUAACGUUGACCCGUGAUCCGGGUUGCGGACAGUGUCUGGUGGGUAGUUUGACUGGGGCGGUCUCCUCCUAAAGAGUAACGGAGGAGCACGAAGGUUGGCUAAUCCUGGUCGGACAUCAGGAGGUUAGUGCAAUGGCAUAAGCCAGCUUGACUGCGAGCGUGACGGCGCGAGCAGGUGCGAAAGCAGGUCAUAGUGAUCCGGUGGUUCUGAAUGGAAGGGCCAUCGCUCAACGGAUAAAAGGUACUCCGGGGAUAACAGGCUGAUACCGCCCAAGAGUUCAUAUCGACGGCGGUGUUUGGCAC
rnacentral:rRNA from 1 species